rnacentral:rRNA from 1 species
UACGUAGGGUGCGAGCGUUUAAUCGGAAUUACUGGGCGUAAAGCGUGCGCAGGCGGCGCGUUAAGACAGGUGUGAAAGCCCCGAGCUUAACUUGGGAAUUGCGCUUGUGACUGGCGUGCUGGAGUGUGGCAGAGGGGAGGUGGAAUUCCACGUGUAGCAGUGAAAUGCGUAGAGAUGUGGAGGAACACCGAUGGCGAAGGCAGGUCUC